AAACAACCAUGGAAGAGGGUUUGGAGCUGGUAUUCCAUAUUUUGGCUUCAAGUAAGUUUAAUUCUUGCUUUUUCUUUGAAAUUUUUAUAUUUUUAGACUUUUACAAUUAGAUCCAACUUAGUAUUCUACUAGUUUCUCAUUUUGUUGAAAGUUUUAGAAGAUACCAAUGAUAAGUUCAUAUGAUUUUUGUUAUUUUAUGAUGAAAUUGAGAUGUUAAUGGAUUUUUAAAGGUGUUUUAUUAAAGAAUUUUGGAUGAAAACAUGUUUUAGGGAUUAAGUUGAAAAGUAUUGAAAUUGUGGAGAAAUUCUGAAAUUUCAUGGAAUCCAUGGGCUGUUAUUGAUAUGUAAGAGAACUAUUAGGCUUGGAUCAAUGAUUAAAUUGCAAGAAUUUCAUUUUCCGAGCCUAGGGAUGAAAUUGUCAUGUGUUAAAAGUUUAGGGUCAAAAUAGUAAUCAAAAUGUUGCACUAAAACAGUUUUGGGCAGCAGCAGUGUGCCAAAUUUGAAAAAUCACCAAAAAUCGUGGGAAUCGAAUUAGAAGAUGAGUAAAAUUUGAAAUUAAAGCUUAUUGAGUCUAGUUUUUCAUAGAAGAAACAGUGUAAGCAAUAGAAUUGUAAAUCAUAAGAUAUAAUAAAUUUUGUGAGAUAGAGUCAGAAUAAUUUUGGAUUCCCCUGUUCUGACUUUGGAAAAUCAUCAAAAAUUGUACGAAAUUAAUUAGGGGUUAAACCUUAUAUUUUUGGAAUCCUAAAUGAGUAUAUUUUCAUUAUAAAUAAACGGGAAUACCAACCGAAUUAUGUACAAUGAGAUAAUCAAUUUUUAGUGAAGAGAGGUCAGAACUGUCGAGCAGUGCAACAGGGGAAACUUUAAAGAAUAAACUGUACUUAUUGGCUAAACCAAAAAUUCUAAAAAUUUUAUGGUAAGAAGAUAUGUGAGUCUAGUUUCAGGAAAAAUUAACGGAUCUUAAUUUGGAGCUCUUUAGAUCGAGAUAUAAAUAAAUUAGUGACUUUGACUCAGAUAGACAGCUUGAAUUUACAUACAGGAAAAUAGUGAUAGUAUGGAAAAUGUUGCUUAAAUGUAUCAUACACAUUAAGGAUGUGGAAUGGAGA
rnacentral:lncRNA from 1 species